GCCUAAUACAUGCAAGUCGAGCGAACAGAUAAGGAGCUUGCUCCUUUGACGUUAGCGGCGGACGGGUGAGUAACACGUGGGUAACCUACCUAUAAGACUGGGAUAACUUCGGGAAACCGGAGCUAAUACCGGAUAACAUUUGGAACCGCAUGGUUCUAAAGUGAAAGAUGGUUUUGCUAUCACUUAUAGAUGGACCCGCGCCGUAUUAGCUAGUUGGUAAGGUAACGGCUUACCAAGGCGACGAUACGUAGCCGACCUGAGAGGGUGAUCGGCCACACUGGAACUGAGACACGGUCCAGACUCCUACGGGAGGCAGCAGUAGGGAAUCUUCCGCAAUGGGCGAAAGCCUGACGGAGCAACGCCGCGUGAGUGAUGAAGGGUUUCGGCUCGUAAAACUCUGUUAUUAGGGAAGAACAAACGUGUAAGUAACUGUGCAUGUCUUGACGGUACCUAAUCAGAAAGCCACGGCUAACUACGUGCCAGCAGCCGCGGUAAUACGUAGGUGGCAAGCGUUAUCCGGAAUUAUUGGGCGUAAAGCGCGCGUAGGCGGUUUCUUAAGUCUGAUGUGAAAGCCCACGGCUCAACCGUGGAGGGUCAUUGGAAACUGGGAAACUUGAGUGCAGAAGAGGAAAGUGGAAUUCCAUGUGUAGCGGUGAAAUGCGCAGAGAUAUGGAGGAACACCAGUGGCGAAGGCGACUUUCUGGUCUGUAACUGACGCUGAUGUGCGAAAGCGUGGGGAUCAAACAGGAUUAGAUACCCUGGUAGUCCACGCCGUAAACGAUGAGUGCUAAGUGUUAGGGGGUUUCCGCCCCUUAGUGCUGCAGCUAACGCAUUAAGCACUCCGCCUGGGGAGUACGACCGCAAGGUUGAAACUCAAAGGAAUUGACGGGGACCCGCACAAGCGGUGGAGCAUGUGGUUUAAUUCGAAGCAACGCGAAGAACCUUACCAAAUCUUGACAUCCUUUGAAAACUCUAGAGAUAGAGCCUUCCCCUUCGGGGGACAAAGUGACAGGUGGUGCAUGGUUGUCGUCAGCUCGUGUCGUGAGAUGUUGGGUUAAGUCCCGCAACGAGCGCAACCCUUAAGCUUAGUUGCCAUCAUUAAGUUGGGCACUCUAGGUUGACUGCCGGUGACAAACCGGAGGAAGGUGGGGAUGACGUCAAAUCAUCAUGCCCCUUAUGAUUUGGGCUACACACGUGCUACAAUGGACAAUACAAAGGGCAGCUAAACCGCGAGGUCAUGCAAAUCCCAUAAAGUUGUUCUCAGUUCGGAUUGUAGUCUGCAACUCGACUACAUGAAGCUGGAAUCGCUAGUAAUCGUAGAUCAGCAUGCUACGGUGAAUACGUUCCCGGGUCUUGUACACACCGCCCGUCACACCACGAGAGUUUGUAACACCCGAAGCCGGUGGAGUAACCAUUUAUGGAGCUAGCCGUC
rnacentral:rRNA from 1 species